GACGAACGCUGGCGGCGUGCUUAACACAUGCAAGUCGAACGGAAAGGCCGGCUGUGCCUUGUGGAUUGCGGGUACUCGGGUGGCCAACGGGUGAGUACACCGGGAGUGAUCUGCCCGCAACGUGUGUAGAAGCCUGGGAAACGGGGUCUAAGUACAGCUAGGACUGCAGGGUGGAGCGUGUGGUGGAACACGACGCUCUAGCGGUUGGGGAUGAGCUCGUGGCCUAUCAGCUUGUUGGUGGGGCAAUGGGCUACCAAGGCGGCGACGGGUAGCCGGCCUGGGAGGGUGGACGGCCACACUGGGACUGAGAUACGGCCCCGACUCCUACGGGAGGCAGCAGUGGGGAAUAUUACACAAUGGGCGGAAGCCUGAUGCAGCGACGCCGCGUGGGGGAUGACGGGCUUCGGGUUGUAAUCUCCUUUCGACCGCGAGGAAGCCACCUGGUUGGAAGGGUGGUGACGGUAGUGGUAGAAGAAGCACCGGCUAACUACGUG
rnacentral:rRNA from 1 species